GAGAGGAGGAAGCGAGGCAGUGAGGGCCAGAUGGCGAGGACUUGGCAGGCCAGGGAGAACAUGUGGUUUUCAUUGUAAGUGGCAAGGAGCCACAUGCAACGCUUUAAACAGAGUAAUGACAUCGGAUCUGGCUGCUGCGUCGGGUGGCAAGACGAAGACCAUCAGGAGGCUCAUGCAGGAAACCCCGCAAGAGACAGUGGAGGACUGGUCUGGGGCGGUGCUGGUGGAGACGCAGAGACUGGGGUAUGUUUUGCAGACAGGCGACAGGACUUGCCAAUGCACUGGAUGUGGAGGGAAUUUACCACUAAGAGGAAAGAGAAGUCUAAAGAACACCCUAAGGCUGAAGGACAUUAUCUACGGAAGAACCCCUUGGACGUGGGGGGAGCCUCCCCAAGGCUGAGAUCAGACCUCGUUGGAUAGGGUAUGUUGCAGCCCCCUGGAUGGUGGAGAGGCUUGCUAGGCUGCCCCGGGCCACACCAGUCCGUGGUCAGCUGGCCAAAGCUACCAGGGAACUGUCCUCUGGGGGCCAACAAAAUUCCCCGGGAAGCAGUUGGAGGCAUGGGGAGCAUGCUGUUGAACUUACUAGGAAGCUGGAUGGGGUACCCGCGGAUGCAGUAGGAAGCUCCCUGCUGGGCCUAUGGAGGUCAGCUGCGGUGCCCACAGGUCUCAUCCAGCGCUUGGCCACAUAUACUCCUAGGGAGUUCUGGGAUUCAGAGAGCGGUCCCCGAACUUCAGGGAUGCUGCUAUCGUCCUGUAAGCAGAGUUGGCUUUGGGCUCAACUAGUUUCUCUCCGAAACGAGUCAAACGGAUGGGGCCACUUAAUAAUUGGCCACAUCCUAAGGUGUGAACUCCAAAGGCGGCUGAGAAACUUACACCAUCAGAAAUCGCACACCUUUUCCAGAAUUGUGUCUUCAUUCUCACCAGAGAGCCCUGCAGUUGUUCAAGAUGUAGGAAUCCACUGGGUUCUAGGCAGUUUAAAAAGGUAAAGACAUCUUCGUCUCCAGCCAUUUGUUGAAUUCCCAAGUCCAGUUUUGAUUCCGAAUGCUGGGACUUCUUUUUUAAAAGAACACUGAGAAAUGUCCUUCUGUGCCUUGAAGCUUUGGGGACUGUGUGUAAAGUCUUAUCAGUGAGAGAGGACAAUCUACAAGCCAAACAGAAGCAGGCCAACUGGCGUACUUAGAGAUGUCCUUGAACGAGGGGCGCAGCUCAGGACCUACUGUCAGAGAGUUUUCCUGGCCUGGUCAUCAGGCUGCACUCAACAGAUCACAUGUCAACACUUCAACUUCUUCCCAACAUCCUCCAUGGUGGGGACAGUUACAGGCAGAAGAAAAAAAAAGGUCGCACUGUGGAUCCUUCUGUGACUCACACAACGAUCCUAACCUGUGAGGUGCUCCGACUCUCCUGACGAUUAAUGCAACGGAUGCCAGGCCGGCCCCACACCGGACACAUGCGACUGACACCUUAGAUUUUUUCUUUUAUGGCAGGUGCUCCAUCUGGAGCAAACAAGCUGGGCUUUUCCUCGUUUAGCCCAAUUCUUGACAGAAGAUGAUUGUCCUAAUGGUAAUGUUUGCUUAUAAUUAAAUAAAGCUUCUGUUUGUUGGUUCGAGGGACAGAAGGGGGUGACUGAGUAUCUUAGGUACGCUAUGGCAAGAAGAGCUCAUUUGGCCCAGGGGACCCCUCCCUGAUGGCUAAUCACUCAGGUCUCUUCCACAUCAAAAAUGUCAUGACCUCAGCUUCCCUCCAAAGCACUGGGCAAAAGUUCAACCAAAGGAAGAAAAAAAAACGCUAACAAUUCCUUUUCAAAUCUCCACUUGAGUUUUGUCACUUUCCUCGAAUUACAAGCUAAUACUUCCCUUUAAA